GACAGAGUGAGAGAGGGGGUGACUAGUGACAGAGUGAGGGAUGGGGUGACUAGUGACAGUCACCCCCUCUCUCACUCUGUCACUAGUCACCCCCUCUCUCACUCUGUCAU